rnacentral:rRNA from 1 species
GACGUAGGGCGCGAGCGUUGUCCGGGAUUUUAUUGGGCGUAAAGAGCUCGUAGGCGGCUUGUCGCGUCUGCUGUGAAAACCCGAGGCUCAACCUCGGGCCGCAGUGGGUACGGGCAGACUAGAGUGCGGUAGGGGGAGAUUGGAAUUCCUGGUGUAGCGGUGGAAUGCGCAGAUAUCAGGAGGAACACCAAUGGCGAAGGCAGAUCUCUGGGCCUAACUGACGCUGAGGAGCGAAAGCAUGGGGGAGCGAACAGG